CUUUCGCGUCCGGAGAUCGGCUCAGAAUGGGCCCAGAGAGAAGGGGGCGGGGCCUCAGUCACGCCAGCGACCAAGCGGCCAAUGGUGGCUGAGAUGGGCGGGCUGCGGAAGUCUAGGGCCCAGGCCUUGCUCCGCCGCCCAAAGAGAAGAGAAAGGCAAUGCUUUGCAAGUACCGACAUGGCUGUUCUACGUUGCAGACUUUCCCAGGAGAUAGAAGGCCAAGUCAUUGUGCAAUGGAAAGCGCUAAAUACAAGACUCUAGAGCCGCUCUUUAGACGAAGAUUGGACGUAUUUGGAGCCCAGUUCUACAGCAGCACCUCCUAAGGAAGACAGCCACCAUUGAGCUUCUCAUGACACUGUCGCCAACCUCACCAAAACAUUUCUUACCACGUUGGUAAAAGGAGAGUCCUCCAGGCCUUUCCAGGGAACACGGUCAGCUGCUGGGUGUGUUACUCAGCUGUCAGCCAGAUCUGAACCCAAGUUUGGCUGCUCGUCAUUCAAAAGGCCAAAAUUUGAGAGACAAGUGUUGGUGAAAAGGAAAGGUUGCUUAAAGGUUCAGGAAGCUGGCAACCUGAAAGAUGGUGGACAAGCAUCCCAAGACCAUCCCCGAAGUGCUGUGCAGAGCAAAAGCACUUUAAAGGGGAAGUUCAUGGAAACAGGAGGGGCUAACCGUGAGUCAGUGGCUCUCUGGCAGACUUGCUGGCAUCAAGGAGGCUGAGCACUUUGAAACUGCCCAGGACUGGAAUGAUAUUUUGAGCUGGCAUGGGAAGCAAGGAAGAAAAGGGAAGAAGGAAGGUAUGGUGGUUCAGAGCCUGCUCUUGAGACUCAGGUUGAGUGUGGGAGAGCAAAGAGCAAUGAGGCUGGAGAAGCAGGAGCCAGCUGGCGAAGAUGCAAUACCCAACUUAAAGGACUUGAACUUUGGU